AUGAUGGCACGACGGGCGACGUCCUUCCCAACAAGCAAACGAUCACCUCCUCCGCCGCCCACGGCCGCAGGGGCUCCCUUUCUUGGCAUCCUCCCAGCGCUUCUCGCCAAGGGCCCGCUGCGAGUGCUCUGCGAUGCCCACGCGGAGAUGGGGAGCGUGUUCACGGUGAGACUGUUGCAUCGCAAGGUCACCUUCCUGGUUGGGCCAGACGUGUCGAGCCAUUUCUACCAAGGGCUGGAGUCAGAAAUCAGCCAGGAUGAGGUCUCGCAGUUCACCAUUCCGACCUUCGGGCCCGGCGUCGCCUUCGACGUGGAUUUCGUCACUCGGCGCGAGCAGUUCCGCUUCUUUGGCGACGCAAUGAAGCCGGCCAAGCUCAGAAGCUACGCCCGCCUCAUGGUGCGCGAAGUCAAGGAGUACUUUGCGAGAUGGGGACAGUCCGGCACGGUUGACUUGAAGCAGGAGCUAGAGCACCUCGUCACGCUCGUCGCCAGCCGAUGCUUGUUUGGGGAGGAGGUGAGGGCGAAGAUGCUGGUCGAGGUCGCAACGCACCUCCGUGAACUCAACGACGGCAUGCGCCUCGUCACCAUCCUAUUCCCGCACCUGCCGAUCCCGGCGCAUCACAGACGUGACAAGGCGCGCGCUAGGCUCGGCGAGAUAUUCUCCGACAUCGUCAGCUCCCGCAAAGCAAGCUGCUCCGAUGGCGGCCAAAACGUCGUCGAUGACAUGCUCCAGUGCCUGAUCGAUUCCAGCACACAAGCUCCAGCACGGGCACGUGGACCGGAGCGCGCCAACGCCAAGCAUCUGCGCGCUGCCGUCCAGGAGCAGGAGCGGAUCAUGGCGCGGCACGGGGACCGCGUGGACUACGAGGUCCUGCAGGAGAUGGACACCCUCCACCGCUGCGUCAAGGAGGUUCUGCGGCUCCACCCGCCGGCGAUGAUGCUGUUGCGCCAUGCGCGCCGGAGCUUCGCCGUGCGGACAAGCGAGGGCGUCGAGUACGAGGUCCCUGAGGGGCGCACGGUCGCGAGCCCGCUGGUGAUCCACAACCGUCUCCCGCAAGUGUACAGCGAUCCGGAGACGUACGAGCCGGACCGGUUCGGCCCCGGCAGAGGAGAGGACAGGGCAGGCGGGGCGCUCUCGUACACGGCGUUCGGCGCUGGGCGGCAUGCGUGCGUCGGCGAGGCGUUCGCGUACAUGCAGAUCAAGGUGAUAUGGAGCCACCUCCUGAGGAACUUUGAGAUGGAGAUGGUGUCGCCGUUCCCCGAGACGGACUGGAACGUGGUCAUGCCAGGGCCCAAGGGGAAGCUCAUGCUCCGCUACAACAGAAACACAAGAGGGAUGUCGACGGCCGCCUAA
rnacentral:rRNA from 1 species